GAUGAACGCUGGCGGCGUGCUUAAUACAUGCAAGUCGAGCGAACGGACGAGAAGCUUGCUUCUCUGAUGUUAGCGGCGGACGGGUGAGUAACACGUGGAUAACCUACCUAUAAGACUGGGAUAAUUUCGGGAAACCGGAGCUAAUACGGGAUAAUAUUUUGAACCGCAGGGUUGAAAAGUGAAAGACGGUCUUGCUGUCAGUUAUAGAUGGAUCUGCGCUGCAUUAGCUAGUUGGUAAGGUAAAGGCUUACCAAGUGAACGAUGCAUAGGCGAGUUGUGAGAAUGAUAGCCCACAUUGGAACGUAGACACGCACCAGACGCCUACGAGACGCAGCAGUAUGGUAUCUUCCGCAAUAGUCGAAAACAUUACGGAGUAACGCCACGCCUGUUAUGAAGAUCUUCGGAUCAUAAAACUCUCUUAUUAGGUAAAAACAUCUGUGUAAGUAACUGUACCCAUCUUGACGGUACCUAAUCAGAAAGCCACGGCUAACUACGUG
rnacentral:rRNA from 1 species